rnacentral:tRNA from 1 species
AUUUAAGUAGCUUAUUAAGAGCAUAAUAUUGAAGAUAUUAAGGUAAUAAUUUUAUUUUUAAAUA